rnacentral:rRNA from 1 species
UUGAACGCUGGCGGAAUGCUUUACACAUGCAAGUCGAGCGGCAGCGCGGGGGCAACCCUGGCGGCGAGCGGCGAACGGGUGAGUAAUGUAUCGGAACGUACCCUGUCGUGGGGGAUAACACAGCGAAAGCUGUGCUAAUACCGCAUACGACCUGAGGGUGAAAGCGGGGGAUCGCAAGACCUCGCGCGAUAGGAGCGGCCGAUAUCGGAUUAGCUUGUUGGUGAGGUAAAGGCUCACCAAGGCGACGAUCCGUAGCUGGUCUGAGAGGACGACCAGCCACACUGGAACUGAGACACGGUCCAGACUCCUACGGGAGGCAGCAGUGGGGAAUUUUGGACAAUGGGCGCAAGCCUGAUCCAGCAAUGCCGCGUGCAGGAUGAAGGCCUUCGGGUUGUAAAACUCUUUCGGCAGGAACGAAACGGUGAGCUCUAACAUAGCUUGCUAAUGACGGUACCUGAAGAAGAAGCACCGGCUAACUACGU